rnacentral:tRNA from 2 species
GGGCGUGUAGCUCAGUUGGUUAGAGCGUUACACUGAUAAUGUAAAGGUCGAUGGUUCGAGUCCAUCCACGCCCACCA